rnacentral:rRNA from 1 species
AUGGAGAUACCAGUAGUAGUGGAAGCUAGGGUUGAAGAUCCAUCUUCGAGCGUCGGUUUGGGCCUGGGAAACAAGAAGGGUGAGGAGGAUGCAUCGAAGGCGUUUGACGGGAAGGUUUCUGACGUUCAGAAAGAUGAUGAGGAUGCAGAUUGGGAGCAAUACAGGGCAGAUGAAGAUCUAGAUGGUGCGUUUGAGAACCUCAAGUUGCAAGGGGGGGAGGAAGAAGAUCUGGAUCUUUCUGGGGAGUUUGAGGAUUUGAUCAAGGAUGUUCGUUGGAUGGCGCUCUUAAGGGUUCACACACUGCGACCGUUUAGUCACGCUUCUCUGCUUAAUUCCAUGAGGAAUGCAUGGGCGUGUGCGCAGGGGGUGACUUUCAACAUCAAAGGCCCCAACUUGUUUCUGGCUCAAUGCCAUUGCUUGGGUGAUUGGAAGAGAGUAAUGGAGGGGGGGCCAUGGCAGUUUAGAAGGGAUCUGGUGGUUUUAAUGGAGUAUGAUGGAUUUUCAGAUGUAGAAGAGUAUGAUUUGAACAUGUAUCCAUUGUGGGCUAGGAUUAAAGGAUUGCCGGACGGUUUGACGAGGAAGAAGGAGUUGGCAGAGAAGGUUGGAAAGAAGGUAGGAGAACCUCCGUUUACAGUCACGGUGAAUGAAGGGAGGAUUAACCCAUCAAACUUUUUGCGGGUUCGGGUGUUCGUCAACGUAACAUUACCAUUAGUAAGGUUUGUGCAUAUUACAUUGAAGGAGAGAAAGAGGUACUCGGUGUUUUAUGAGAAACUCCCAGAUUUUUGCUUUUUCAGUGGACAUAUGGAUCAUGUUGUGGAAGAAUGUGGUGAUGGAGUAGAUGAUAGUGCACUUUGUGAAUGGGGGGAUUGGCUUCAUUGGGUCAGCGAACUAGUGGGUUCCGGUGGUCGUGGGGGCAGAGGCGGUGGGAGUGAUGGAGGUAGAGGAGGUGCUGGCCCUGCAGGGUGGGGGGGAAAGGAGGAAGAAGGGGUGGUAGAGGAGGCGAAGCUAGAGGAAGUAGGGAUGAUGUUGGGGAGGAAAAGGAGGAGGUGGUUUCACAGAAAGAGGGGGGCUGGAGCUGUCUGUGGGGAUGGAUAUCAUGCAGUUUAA